AUAUUGGUCAAUGGCCUAACGGCUGAACCAGCAAUUUGGAGGAACGUAUAGCGAAAGCUAGUUGUAUCAAUAUUUGAUAGAUGCAAUAUCGACUUAGUCGAAUAAAGUUCUGAGUAGAAUUAUGAUAAUGACAUUGUCUACUUAUGUAGUCUUGACCAAAUUACGUGCCAGCAGUCGCGGUAAUACGUAAAAGACUAGUGUUAUUCAUCUUUAAUAGGUUUAAAGGGUACCUAGACGGUAAAUAAAGCCUAAAAAAGGGACUAAUUUACUAGAGUUACUUGUGAGGGAGCACUAAAGUACUAGUGGUGUAGAGAUGAAAUUCUGUAAUACCUUUCUUCGGGAGAAGAGCAACGGAACAAGUAUAGGCGAAAGCAUCUCCUUAUGUGAUAACUGACGUUGAGGGACGAAGGCUUUGUGUAGCGAACAGGAUUAGAGACCCUGGUAGUCGAAGCAGAAAAUGAUGAGUGUCAUAGAUUAGAUAACUAUUUAUUCUAUAAAUGAAAAUGUAAGCACUCCACCUCAAGAGUAAUUUGGCAACAUUGGAACUGAAAUCAUUAGACCGUUUCUGAAACCAGUAGUGAAGUAUGUUGUUUAAUUUGAUAAUCCGCAAAGAACCUUACCACAAUUUGAAUAUUUAUAUGCAUUGUCAUAUAAAUACAAGUGUUGCACGGCUGUCUUCAGUUAAUGUCGUGAGACUAUGGUUGGCUCCAUUAAAUUAACGUAAACCCUUGCUUUAUUUUUAUAUAAAGUUGUUCUCCGCAAUAUUGGAUAAGAUAAUAGGGACUAAGACAAGUCAUCAUGGCCUUUAUGUUGUGGGCUAUAGACG
rnacentral:rRNA from 1 species